AAACUCCCACCCAUGGCCCCCGAGAAACUGCACACAGCAGAGGUGAGGUCAGUACCUCCGACCAAGUAGGCGCAGGUUCUGCGAAAGUACCUGAUGUGUCUGUCUGUCUGGAUGCUCAUCAGUGAUUCCCCAAAACUCAGAUUUCUCUUCAAGAUGACAGUAGAAAUGUAGAAGCAGGAUAAAAUACUCAGAGGAUGAACUCAGUUGCACAUUGGUUUAGACUCCCUGUUAAGAGCUGACAUGCUGGGGGGAUCAAAAGUAAGUUAACACUUGUCAGUGCGCUAAACAGUUUGUUCUGGCAUUAUCACUUGCUAAUUGUCAUAUUAUUUGUCCGUACACACAACCAUAAACCUGCUUUUAUCCCAGCCCGUAUAAUGGAAUGUUUUAGUCGAUUCAGUUUUGUGCUCUGCCAUUAAACCUGCCCGUAAUAAACGUUUAUAAAUGUGGUAUAGCAUGAAACUUGAACAGACUUAGCUUCUAAAACAGUUUCAUAGAGAUGAUGAAUAAAAAACUUAGGGAAAAUUCAUGCUCUAUGGAUGCUUUAUUAAUAAUAAAAAAUCAUGAUUUAAAUUUUUAGAGGGAAAAACUAUGGCGUUAAGGGAGCCCAUAAAUUCUGUGGAAAUGGGUGGGGGGUGGGGUGGGCUGAGGUGGGGGAGUGGAAUCCCUGCCAAGUUUCAAGGUCAUAAAAGUAAUUGAAAUAAAAUACGAAGCUAUAUAUAGAACUACAUUUUCAUGGUAAUAUAGUUUAUGGUUCAAAUUGGGCAGUAAAGUAG